AAUGCUUAGAUUCUUAUCACACAUCUUAGCAGGAUUCAACUACCAGCAUUUUAGAAAAUAGUCCCAAAGCCUUCAUAUGAUGCCUCCAGAAACAAGGGCUAAGGAUACUUCUAUCUGUUGACCAGGAGUUAGUAGCACUGCAGUAUAUAUUAAAGCAUUAAUUUCAAGAUUGCCAAUUUACUUGCUUCAUUAUUUCUGAAUACUGAAAUUAAAAAGGUUGAGGACAACAUCAAAAUGUUUCCACACAGCCUGCAUAACUUGAAGAGGUAUUAAUAAGCUCAGAGUUAGCCUGACAUAAUCAAAUUGGAUUUGGUUUUCCACAUCAGCUAACUGGAGUAGAUGGUGCUUGCUUUGCAACAGUAUCACAUGAAAUGUGCCCAGACUCAACCAUCCCUGGAACAGAAUGCUGAUGACUACUGACUUCAUAGGAGUGCUGAGAUGUGGGCCUCGGUGGUGGAAGUUUACCAGCAGCCCCACGAUGCAGGAACUCCCUACUCUGCACUGACAGGGCCAAUGGUGGUACAAAAACCAUCCAUGACUCGCUGACAAUGUGGAUGCCACUGAAUGUCAACUGUCUCCCCAAACCCUCAGUGAGCCAAACCGAGUGUAUGGAAAAGUUCUGGGGUGACUCAGGACCACCAGCUAAUAAACUGUCACUUGGGUCCUGGGAUCUGGGAAGAUGAAUGACAACCUUCCUUUCUUUCUAGAGAAGCUCCCCAGAACAGCUUCUGGCAGCAUUUACUAUUUAUGGCCACAUUGGAGCUAAUAUGAAAGAAUAUGGAAAGAAAAAAAUAAUAAGUUCCAGAGUAAAAAUGGAAACCAAUAUUCAGGGUUGCAGGGGAGUGGACAUGGAAUAAAUAGAUGUCUGAACUUGAGAUCUAGCUGAGGAAUUAGCGUGAUGUGAACUAUUAAAAGAGCCAAGAAAAAGGGAUACAAAUGGUGAAUGCUUUGGGGAAGAAACAAGGUAAGGUAUUAGUGGAUUUAACAGCAAAACAAAUUAGCUCAACAGACAAGCUUCUUUUGAGCAAAUAAAGUCCAGAACCUAGCAUCGACUAGAUAAUCUUUUCAGGGAAUGGUUUUCAAGCCUUCCCCACCAGGGAACAAAAACCUCCCAAGAAUAAUUUAGAAAGCACAUAUUUUAUGAGACUUGGAUUUGCAAAAUGUUUGUUCUGCGGUUCCUUUGCAAAAUGGAAGUAGGAAUAUGGGACCCAAUUGGAAAAGAUUCAUCUAAGGCCCUGAGGCUCUAAGAUGCCAUGUGCUGAGCUACCGACUUCAUAUCUCCGGAGAUCACUAGUGUAAUUUUGGAAAGGAUUCAAUCUCAUCUACCAAGAAAAAAAAAAAAAAAAAAAAAAAAAUCCUCAUGUGAAACAAAACACAACUAC